AAACUGAAGAGUUUGAUCAUGGCUCAGAUUGAACGCUGGCGGCAGGCUUAACACAUGCAAGUCGAGCGGAAACGAUGAUAGCUUGCUAUCAGGCGUCGAGCGGCGGACGGGUGAGUAAUACU
rnacentral:rRNA from 1 species